AUUAUGGAGAGUUUGAUCCUGGCUCAGGACGAACGCUGGCGGCGUGCCUAAUACAUGCAAGUCGAGCGGAGCACUUCGGUGCU
rnacentral:rRNA from 1 species